rnacentral:rRNA from 1 species
UACAGAGGUCUCAAGCGUUGUUCGGAUUCAUUGGGCGUAAAGGGCGCGUAGGCGGCCGCGCAAGUCGGGGGUGAAAUCUUUCGGCUCAACCGGAAAAGUGCCUCCGAUACUGCGCGGCUCGAGGGGGGUAGGGGCGGACGGAACUUCCGGUGGAGCGGUGAAAUGCGUUGAUAUCGGAAGGAACGCGGUGGCGAAAGCGGUCCGCGUGG